rnacentral:rRNA from 1 species
GACCUGCGGAAGGAUCAUUAAAGAACGCCCCGUUUUUUGAAAUGGGUAAUUCCCAAACCGUGUCUAAUAUACCUUUGUUGCUUUGGCAGGCCGCCUUCUAGGCGUCGGCUCCGGCUGACUGCGCUUGCCAGAGGACCCAAACUCGUUUUGUUUAGUGUCGUCUGAGUACUAUAUAAUAGUUUAAAACUUUCAACAACGGAUCUCUUGGUUCUGGCAUCGAUGAAGAACGCAGCGAAAUGCGAUAAGUAAUGUGAAUUGCAGAAUUCAGUGAAUCAUCGAAUCUUUGAACGCACAUUGCGCCCCUUGGUAUUCCGAGGGGCAUGCCUGUUCGAGCGUCAUUAUAACCAUUCAAGUUUCGACUUGGUAUUGGGGUUCGCGGUUUCGCGGCCCUUAAAAUCAGUGGCGGUGCCAUCUGGCUCUAAGCGUAGUAAUUCUCUCGCUACAGGGUCCGGGUGGUUGCUUGCCAGAAUCCCCCACUUUUAUAGGUUGACCUCGGAUCAGGUAGGGAUACCCGCUGAACUUAAGCAUAUCAAUA